rnacentral:misc_RNA from 1 species
GUUGGCAAAAGUUUUCAGGUUUCAUUUUGUUGAUCUGUAAGAAGAAGAGAGGAGCAUAAUAAUCCACGAGUAUGGCGCACUCCUUCUUGUAAAAUCGCAUCUUCGAACAAGAUUUGUGAAGACGGUCAAUGAUCUCUGUUUGGGUCUUGUUAUUAGCCAUGUAAUUAAGUGCCUUGGCGGUAUAUUCUUCACACAAUGUGCACAAUUGUUCACUUCCA